rnacentral:piRNA from 1 species
UUCCAGAUUAACCUUGCCUCACAAGGGGUGU